rnacentral:rRNA from 1 species
ACGGGUGAGUAAUGUAUCGGAACGUGCCCAGUCGUGGGGGAUAACGCAGCGAAAGCUGUGCUAAUACCGCAUACGAUCUAUGGAUGAAAGCGGGGGAUCGCAAGACCUCGCGCGAUUGGAGCGGCCGAUAUCAGAUUAGGUAGUUGGUGGGGUAAAAGCCUACCAAGCCGACGAUCUGUAGCUGGUCUGAGAGGACGACCAGCCACACUGGGACUGAGACACGGCCCAGACUCCUACGGGAGGCAGCAGUGGGGAAUUUUGGACAAUGGGCGCAAGCCUGAUCCAGCAAUGCCGCGUGCAGGACGAAGGCCUUCGGGUUGUAAACUGCUUUUGUACGGAGCGAAAAGGCUCUCUCUAAUACAGGGAGCUCAUGACGGUACCGUAAGAAUAAGCACCGGCUAACUACGUGCCAGCAGCCGCGGUAAUACGUAGGGUGCAAGCGUUAAUCGGAAUUACUAGGCGUAAAGCGUGCGCAGGCGGUUAUGUAAGACAGAGGUGAAAUCCCCGGGCUCAACCUGGGAACUGCCUUUGUGACUGCAUAGCUAGAGUACGGCAGAGGGGGAUGGAAUUCCGCGUGUAGCAGUGA